GCAAGUCGAGCGAGAAGGAUUUCUUCGGAGAUCUGGACAGCGGCGCACGGGUGCGUAACGCGUACACAAUCUGCCCUAUACAGAGGAAUAGCCCUGGGAAACUGGGAUUAAUGCCUCAUGGUCCUUAUGUAUGGCAUCAUACAAAAGGUAAAGAUCCGGCGGUAUAGGAUGAGUGUGCGUAGGAUUAGCUAGUGGGUGAGGUAACGGCUCACCAAGGCGAUGAUAGUUAGGGGGCGUGAGAGCGUGAGC
rnacentral:rRNA from 1 species